GUGCUUGUUUUGGCAGCACAUAUACUAAAUUGGAACAAUACAGAGAAGAUUAAUAUGGCCCCUUCGAAAGGAUGAUAUGCAAAUACAUGAAGCAUUCCAUAUUUGU
ensembl:snRNA U6 U6 spliceosomal RNA